CCUACGGGAGGCAGCAGUGGGGAAUAUUGCGCAAUGGGCGAAAGCCUGACGCAGCGACGCCGCGUGAGGGAUGAAGGUCUUCGGAUCGUAAACCUCUGUCAGCAGGGAAGAACGGUCACUGUGCUAAUCAGCAGUGAAUUGACGGUAACUGCAAAGGAAGCACCGGCUAACUCCGUGCCAGCAGCCGCGGUAAUACGGAGGGUGCGAGCGUUAAUCGGAAUUACUGGGCGUAAAGCGCUCGUAGGCGGUAUGUCAAGUCAAGGGUGAAAUCCCCGCGCUCAACGUGGGAACUGCCUUUGAAACUGGCAAACUUGAGGGUGUUAGAGGAUAGUGGAAUUCCAGGUGUAGGGGUGAAAUCCGUAGAUAUCUGGAGGAACAUCAGUGGCGAAGGCGACUAUCUGGCACAUAACUGACGCUGAGGAGCGAAAGCGUGGGUAGCAAACAGGAUUAGAUACCCGAGUAGUC
rnacentral:rRNA from 1 species